rnacentral:snRNA from 1 species
GUGCCCGCUUCGGCAGCACGUAUACUAAAAUUGGAACGAUACAGAAAAGAUUAGCGUGGCCCCUGUGCAAGGAUGACACGCAAAUUCGUGGAGCGUUCCAUAUUUUU